UAGCUCAGCUGGAUAGAGCAACGGCCUUCUAAGCCGUAGGUCACAGGUUCGAAUCCU
rnacentral:tRNA from 1 species